UUACUGUGUUUCCGUCAGUGUCGGGAUGGCAGGGGCACACAUCAGAAAGGAAAGGAGGGAGACGUGAAGGAAAGGAAGAGGCGUUUCUGGGGGAGUAAAGGGUGGAGACAGGCUCUUUUCCUCCACACACAGACUGCUGGCUCUUGUUUUCUUCUCCCAGACCUGUCAGGCAGAAUAGAGUCACAUCUGCUCCCCAUAUCUCCUUCAAGUCAGGGGGACACAGUUGGCAAAGCUACCAGCUGCUGGCCAGAAUACCCCCAAAGGAUCCCAGGUGUCUCUAUGAACACUCCCCAAUCAACUCAACGUUGUUGAACAGAGAAGACGAUUCAGAAACCCACCCUGGUUAAGGAAUUAUUUUCAAUUGAAGCUGGUUUCACCUCCUCCUGCAAUCUAUGGACUGAUGGACCCUAAUUUUUCAUUACUACUCAGGUUCUUUGAAGAAAACACACUGCAUUUCACAUGGUCUCCACCCAUAGCCAGUUUUGAUCAAUGACCCUUAAUUGACCCUUGUGUGUCCUCUAUUACAUUGGUUAAAGGUAACCAGAGAGAGAGAGAGAAGAAACCUGAGGGGGUUAAGACCCUAGCGUUGAAAAGAUAGCUGCUGUAACGCAAUGAAUUCCAUGCACAAGUGCACCAACAAGACAUGAAACUGAAUCAAUAUGUCUCGUAGGUCGGACCUGCACCACUUAAAAACCUCUAUUGAUCAGUAUGCCCUUUGGCCUGCAUAAUUCACAGUGACCCUGGUCCAUUUUCCAGUGAGCCCAAAGAUCUCUGCAGUGAAUAAGGUUCAGACAACUGUGAUAAACAAGUUUGCUGGUGGACAGAGUCUAACAGCUGCUCACGGUCAUCCUUAGACUAUCGGUAUUAUAUUAUUAUUUCUUAAUAAUGAAAUAGAUUAUUAAAUGGACGGGUAAUUAUCAAACACAGUACAAUGAGGAAUUUUUAGAUUACAAUUCUUAAAAGUUUAUCAGCAAGGUAAUAAAUCACAAGAUAAUAUGAGGGUUCAUCUGUCUCAGGUCAUAUGUGUGUUUAUUGUUAGGCUUUAUUUUGAUAGCUGUUACCAAACGUGGUAGUGUUUAGAUAGGGUCUCUAAUUUCACAUCACCAAUUUUUGUCACCAAUUUCACAUCAUGUAACAAUCAUUACAUUAUCACUGUUAUUGAGGGUGGUACUGUGAAAAGCAAUUACCUGUGCCCACACCGCACUAGCUGUAAAUUUGUACACCCUACAGAGGCAAUUACCAUGCGUCAUUAUUUUGAGUUUGUGUCACGCUGAGCACACACUCCAUCAGUAAACCAAAACAAAGGCUUCGGUUGGUUUGAUGUAUGGUGAUAUGGCUGUAUAAAAGGAGUUGUGUGUGGUGUGUUUCUCUUUGAUAGCCUGGUACAUGACCAGCGCUGCCUGACAGAGACUGUUUAAUUCAACUCCUACUAUCAUCACGGUCAACAGCGCCAGGACGCAGCCUUUCAGCACCAUUACACUCACUAAUGGAACUGCGUGUAAUAUAUCCUCCCUACGCAAACCUGUCCCUCUCCCCCACACGCCGUCUCCAGCACAGAAGUAUCACUCUACUCUCCCACCCUCCCUUUUGCCUGCCUCACUAAGUCUGCCACCUGCCCUCUACAUGUCUCCCUGUAUCCUGGUCAAUCUCUCUCUGUCUCUUUGUCGGAGAAAAACGCCCACCUCGUGUAUUUCCUUUCUUCCUGUGGUCUUUAUCUAGCGCAUCAUUUCCAAGUUUAACAUCAGACAAUAGAGGGCUGACAAAGUGCCUGAGGUAAAACAAUAAGCGCCUGGUUGGAAGUUUAUCUUAAGAUGCACUUCAGCUCCUCUGUAGCCUCUCAACCUGUGAGCACUUCUGUGAGAAAAUGGAAUAGAGCCACAUUCAUACCAUGGCACACAAAGGCUCUAUAACUUUAAUGUGAUUUUGAACAAUGUGUAACUUUAAUAUCAUAUCACGCUAACCUUGGCAGUAAGAGUCCACUGUGUACAUUUUCCAUUCAUGCUGCCCCCCUGUUGAAUAUGAUUGUGGUAGAUGAAAGGCAUUAUUUUAAUUAUUUUAUUUAAAUGUAAAUUGAUGUCAAGUAAAAUAAAGUCUGAUGUUUUCAAUUAGUCCAACAGUCCUCAUCAUCAGUUGGCAUUUGCUCAGUUGUAAUCUAGCAGGAACCUCUGGGUCUGAAAAGUGAAGCCAAUGCGGAAGUGCCUUUAACCCAAUUCUCUUUCAUGGCCAGCAGGGGGCAACUUGCUAAAAAAGAAGUCAGAUUGCAUUGGAUAUGACAAAAUGACCCCACUUCUCACGUGAUUUAUUACCUGACCUACCCUAGCUCUUCUUCAAUACAGCAUGAUGUUCAUUUAGUAAGUUAUGGUGCCAUUUAGAGGAUAAAUAGAUGAUACAGCAGGGUAUGCCUUAGUGCGGGGCUGCCUUGGGAUUGACAAGUCGCUACUAUGGCGACCUGUCAAUUAGGAUAGAGACAACUCAUAUCCACUGCUUUGUGUAAAUUUAACCAGCACCGUUUAAAAAGUUUAUGAGGAGUUGGCUAUUAAUUUUUCCAAUAAGUACAUUUUGUUCUAUGUUUUUUUUUUU